AAGAAACGGAGUUUCGCAGGAGAGAGUGGUGUCAAGACUACCAAAGAAAUAACUCUAAAAUACAAAUAUCAAAACCAACGAUAAAACAAUAGCAAUGACAGCAACUUGAAACGUUUGUCUUUGAAAUUAUACUUUCGUAUUAUUGAUAUCCAACUCUGACCAAAUCAGUAUCACUUCACAAAUUGGAGAAAAGUUAAAUAUUAACAACCCAACUGAACAGGAGCAACCCCUAAAACUCAAGUCGUCAACCUUUCUUUUCCACCAAAAAAAGCCCCAAAUUGUUUCUUUGAGUCUACUAAGUACAAAACAUCGGCAUGAGUAUCCACUGUAUAAUGUGACACUCAAUAAGAAUGGUGCAUAAAGUGUCUGCAGUAACUAGUAUAGUCAGCUGCAAGAAUGACCUCAUUGAAUUGACUGUCCUACGCCAGGAUUCUUCUCCCUGCUAGCAGGAGAAUCUUCAACCUGUAAACCAAUUCUCACUUAAUAUGGAUGACAGAAAUUGCCACUUUCUAUGAUUAUAAGCCUAGAGCAAUAGGAGCAUGCCCCUUUUUUUGCAAGCAGUUGAGCUCACACCAUGAAAUAAUAUGAGAAACCUGCCAAUUUAGACUUUACUUUUCUUGUUUUCUUUUACAAAUACAUCCUGGAAGGGGAUUCGCAUAAAAACUUUCCUCCAGCUUUGGAGAAAUUCCAGGCUCCCUUAGAUAUGGAGCUCCAAUUUGAUCUUUGUGAAGCUCUUUCACUUUGGAACUGAAUGUCUCCCACGAGAUUUUUCCUUCAUCCAACUCAUCCACAAGCAUCACAAAAUUCAUCUUGUCUGGACUAAUAGUCUUCUUGAAGUCCUCAAAUCGCCUGUGACCUUGAACUGCCUUUGCCAUAUUUCCAUCAUAUGUAUAAAUAAAUACAUCACUUUGAAGUGCAACAACAUAGUCUAAACCAGCCAACAUGUUCUGAUGAUUCUUGAAAGGAUUCAGUUCUUCCUCUGUGGCAAGAGUGGAAUGUGAGAAUAUGUUAGGGAAGUCAUCCAGAAGAUAUUGCAUGCUUCCUUUCCCAUAAGCUUCACCAGCUACCAAGUAAAUCCUGGUGUUAGAUGGAAAACCUAGCCCUUUAAGCAAAAGAGAAGUCUCCCUCGGGGUCAAUGGACAAACACCAAGCAAUCUUCUUUCUGUUCCAUUUAUUUCUUUCUCCUUCCAGUGGCUGACUUCAUAACGCAUCCCGCGUAGCUCUUCAUCUUCUUCUGCUGUCAAAUUAUGACUGCAGCCUGUAAAUGCAAGCAUAUCCUUCUCAUACCUUAAAUGGAGAGCAAGAUAAGGGUUUUCAUUUUCUCUCAUUCUGGAGACCAAGAUGUUUCCCAGUUCUUCUAUUGGCUCAGAAUACUUCAAUGCCCUGUAAUUGACAUGGCAUCUCAGCUUUUGCAAGGAAUCUGGGAGACCGUUGUUGGCUAGCCGAGAAUCAGUGUGAGUAAAAUAGAUUACUUUGUGCUGUUUCAAAAAUGGCAGGACCUCAGUUUUAUAAUAACUAUCCUUAGACCAAGAUAUUGGUGUUUUUGUAAAAGGUUCAAUUCCAGCAUAGGCAGGUGGUAAUGACUCAACAAUGUGGAUUUCAUUCUUCAAUGUUUCAACGAAGUGUUUCCAAUUGAACAGAUCCUUGAAGUUACUGCCAACAUAAAUAAAGUAAGUUAGGUCAUAGAUCUUCCAAAAACAAUAUAGUGCAGUAAUGCAAUUCAAUCACUGGAUAGGAGAUGCCCAAAAUGCCAAAGUGAAACCACCUUGGCUGUGAUGCUGAGGCUUCCCACAUAAAAAUAUCAAAUGACUAAUGGUAACUUCCGUUACAAGCCUAACAUACUCCGUGUUGGAAACAAGAUGAACAUGCCUAAUAAAACUAAAGGUUGAAUUGCCAUGUUUCUGUACCUACACUUAAACACAAUGUGCUUGCAUGCUUCAAUUGAGAACAUUCCCUUGGUAUUACAUUAUACACAUGUGAAUGUGGUAACUAUGUUUUUAAAACUAAUGGCUACAUUGAUAUACCUGAUUUACUCUUAUAAUGUAAUGAGCUUACAUGCACACACAAGGAUAAUGCCCUUACUGUAACACUUUAUAUUCUGGUAAGCAUGAUAAUAUGCUCUGGAUCAACUAUAUUCAUUUCUGGCAUAAGCCACUGAAACAAUUCCACAAACAAAUCAGAUCGACUUUAAUCUGCAUCUAUGGGAAAUUGUCAAGACAAAUUCAUUUGCAACAAGGAAAUUAUCCAUAUGCUAUUGCUCCAGUUAUCUGAUCAACUGCAGAAGUUUGAAAAGUAGAAUAAAAUAACCUUUCAUCAGCCCAGUAGGAGGUGUGAUCAAGAGAAGGAAGAACAAGUGUUGCCUUCAUAAUCUUAGCCACAGCAACCAUAUCACAAAUCUGCAAACCCAAAUCUCAUCUGAUUUAAGCCACCAUUGGCAUUUAUGAGAAUGUAACCAUUUGUCUUUUCAUCCAGCUUCUUGCGGCUUCUUGACUGGUCAAUGCACUGAGUGAAAUUCUCACUGUUGGAUUUGGACCAGAUAUCUGAGAACUGAACAAAACAAAUGUCAGAAAAGUAGUCUAAUAUUCUUCACACAGGGUUCAGGUUUCAGUUGGUUUUCAGAGAGUCAAAUUCUGAUCUUUCUACUUUCCCCAUUUUCUGAAAAAACUAAACAGGAAAUAUAUUAUAGAUGAAAUUCAAAGACUCACUUCACCAACUACACCUGAUUUUGCCAUCUUUAGUUGUCGCUCUGUAUCAGUCAUUCCCUUCCCAUAUUCGAAAGAGUGAAAGUUUUCAGAACUUCGAGAGUUUUGAUGCAGUUGAGUUGUGGAAUCGAGAGUAUCCUGAUUGGAGGCAACACUUUCAAGGGCAGAUCCAAACCACCCAUUUGCACAAAUCUUAAGAGCACCCAAAAACAAACACACCCCACAAAACACAAAGAACAUCCAGUGCCCCAACUUCUUCCUCUCCCUGAAGCCCAAAUCAACCACUGCAGAUCCAAAAUCGCCCUUCUUAUUGAAUAAACUCUUGACAAUUCCCCCAUGAACUCUCUGGGUCACAUAUUGGUGGUGGCUCUGCCUCUCAAACACCUCAAGAGAUUCAGAUCUAGGUGAAUUAACUUGCAAAUCAAUCUCAUGACUAGUGCUAUUAUUGGUGUUGGUGAUGUGGGUAUUGCGAUUGUUACUGGUGGUGGUGGUAUGAGCGGCGGUGGCGUUAUUAUUAUUACGCUUGAAAGAAUGAGCCCGGCGAGUCAUGGGGCCCGAGAAACGAGGGCUGUUAACUCUCUGAGAAACACCAUCACUAGAGUCAUGGCUGUGGUGGCGAGAGUGAGAGUGGUGACCCAUGAAAAUGAAGAAAAAGUUAUCAAGAAAAUAAGUAACGACAGCAGUGAUUCACUGAUAUGCCUUAUCGUGAAUAAUAACCGCGAUAUCGAAUGGAUUUUAAUAAGUUCGCCAUUGACGAACCAUAGGAAGAAUUUUUCAAAAAGGUCAGUUUAUGUACAGAAAAUCAUUGUGUCUGAAAUCCGAGUUUGUUGCAGACAACGCUUGGCUAGCAGUUCGCAAAAGGGUUGAUCUUAGAUUCUCAAAUUACCAAACAACAAUCUUGGGUAAUACUAUAAUCAUUAUAUAUAGGAAAACCCACGUAUUCAGAAAAAAUAAAUAAUUUAAAUUAUUGAAUCCAAAUAUCCAAUAGAUCAGCAAGUCAAUUUU
rnacentral:misc_RNA from 1 species